GAUGAACGCUGGCGGCGUGCCUAAUACAUGCAAGUCGAGCGAACAGACGAGGAGCUUGCUCCUCUGACGUUAGCGGCGGACGGGUGAGUAACACGUGGAUAACCUACCUAUAAGACUGGGAUAACUUCGGGAAACCGGAGCUAAUACCGGAUAAUAUAUUGAACCGCAUGGUUCAAUAGUGAAAGACGGUUUUGCUGUCACUUAUAGAUGGAUCCGCGCCGCAUUAGCUAGUUGGUAAGGUAACGGCUUACCAAGGCAACGAUGCGUAGCCGACCUGAGAGGGUGAUCGGCCACACUGGAACUGAGACACGGUCCAGACUCCUACGGGAGGCAGCAGUAGGGAAUCUUCCGCAAUGGGCGAAAGCCUGACGGAGCAACGCCGCGUGAGUGAUGAAGGGCUUCGGAUCGUAAAACGCUGUUAUUAGGGAAGAACAAAUGUGUAAGUAACGAUGCACGUCUUGACGGUACCUAAUCAGAAAGCCACGGCUAACUACGU
rnacentral:rRNA from 1 species